rnacentral:rRNA from 1 species
CGGCGAAAGCUCAAAUUUGAAAGCCGGCGUAAGCCCGCGUUGUAAUUUGUAGAGGAUGCUUCUGGGUAGCGGCCGGUCUAAGUUUCUUGGAACAGGACGUCACAGAGGGUGAGAAUCCCGUAUGUGAUCGGCGUCGGCUCCCUCCACGUAGCUCCUUCGAC